rnacentral:rRNA from 1 species
GGGUGACGGCGUACCUUUUGUAUAAUGGGUCAACGACUUAGUGUAACUAGCAAGCUUAAGCCGGUAGGUGUAGGCGCAGCGAAAGCGAGUCUGAAUAGGGCGAUUUAGUUAGUUGCAUUAGACCCGAAACCGAGUGAUCUAGCCAUGAGCAGGCUGAAGGUUGGGUAACACCAACUGGAGGGCCGAACCCGUAUCUGUUGCAAUAGAUUGGGAUGACUUGUGGCUAGGGGUGAAAGGCCAAUCAAACUCGGAAAUAGCUGGUUCUCCGCGAAAUCUAUUUAGGUAGAGCGUCGACCGAAUACCCUCGGGGGUAGAGCACUGGAUGGGCUAUGGGGACUCACCGUCUUACUGAUCCUAACCAAACUCCGAAUACCGAGGAGUACUAGUCGGCAGACACACGGCGGGUGCUAACGUCCGUCGUGAAAAGGGCAACAACCCUGACCUCCAGCUAAGGUCCCCAAGUCAUGGCUAAGUGGGAAAGGAUGUGAGGAUCCCAAAACAACCAGGAUGUUGGCUUAGAAGCAGCCAUCAUUUAAAGAAAGCGUAACAGCUCACUGGUCUAAAUAAGGGUCUUUGCGCCGAAAAUGUAACGGGGCUAAAGCCAUGCACCGAAGCUGAGGAUUGUGGCAACCUUCGGGUUGCUUCAGUGGUAGCGGAGCGUUCCGUAAGUCUGUGAAGGCGGACCCGUGAGGGCUGCUGGAGAUAUCGGAAGUGCGAAUGUUGACAUGAGUAACGAUAAAGGGAGUGAGAGACUCCCUCGCCGAAAGACCAAGGGUUCCUGCUUAAAGUUAAUCUGAGCAGGGUUAGCCGGCCCCUAAGACGAGGCGGACACGCGUAGUCGAUGGGAACCACGUUAAUAUUCGUGGGCCUGGUGGUAGUGACGGAUCUCGUGUGUUGUACAUUCUUACUGGAUUGAAUGUGCGGCGAAGAGGUUCCAGGAAAUAGCUCCACCGUAUAGACCGUACCCGAAACCGACACAGGUGGUCAGGUAGAGUAUACCAAGGCGCUUGAGAGAACUAUGUUGAAGGAACUCGGCAAAUUGCACGCGUAACUUCGGAAGAAGCGUGACCCUUUUGUACGCAAGUAUGAUGGGGUGGCACAGACCAGGGGGUAGCGACUGUUUAUCAAAAACACAGGGCUCUGCGAAGUAGCAAUACGACGUAUAGGGUCUGACGCCUGCCCGGUGCUGGAAGGUUAAAGGGAGGGGUGCAAGCUCUGAACUGAAGCCCCAGUAAACGGCGGCCGUAACUAUAACGGUCCUAAGGUAGCGAAAUUCCUUGUCGGGUAAGUUCCGACCUGCACGAAUGGCGUAACGACUUCCCCGCUGUCUCCAACAUAGACUCAGUGAAAUUGAAUUCCCCGUGAAGAUGCGGGGUUCCUGCGGUCAGACGGAAAGACCCCGUGCACCUUUACUAUAGCUUUACACUGGCAUUCGCCAAGGCAUGUGUAGGAUAGGUGGUAGGCUUUGAAGCAUGGACGCCAGUUCGUGUGGAGCCAUCCUUGAAAUACCACCCUUAUCUUCGUGGAUGUCUAACCGCGGUCCGUUAUCCGGAUCCGGGACAGUGUAUGGUGGGUAGUUUGACUGGGGCGGUCGCCUCCGAAAGAGUAACGGAGGCGCGCGAUGGUGGGCUCAGACCGGUCGGAAAUCGGUCGUCGAGUGCAAUGGCAUAAGCCCGCCUGACUGCGAGACUGACAAGUCGAGCAGAGACGAAAGUCGGUCAUAGUGAUCCGGUGGUCCCGUGUGGAAGGGCCAUCGCUCAACGGAUAAAAGGUACGCCGGGGAUAACAGGCUGAUGACCCCCAAGAGUCCAUAUCGACGGGGUUGUUUGGCACCUCGAUGUCGACUCAUCGCAUCCUGGGGCUGGAGCAGGUCCCAAGGGUAUGGCUGUUCGCCAUUUAAAGCGGUACGUGAGUUGGGUUCAGAACGUCGUGAGACAGUUCGGUCCCUAUCUGCCGUGGGUGUAGGAAUAUUGACAGGAUCUGUCCCUAGUACGAGAGGACCGGGAUGGACGUAUCUCUGGUGGAUCUGUUGUCCUGCCAAGGGCAUAGCAGAGUAGCUAUAUACGGAAUGGAUAACCGCUGAAGGCAUCUAAGCGGGAAACCAACCUGAAAACGAGUGUUCCCUAUCAGAGCCGUGGAAGACGACCACGUUGAUAGGACGGGUGUGGAAGCACAGCAAUGUGUGAAGCUUACCGUUACUAAUAGCUCGAUCGACUUCUUCGUUCCCAUU